UUCAAGGGCUGCAGCACGGCGAGGAAAGGAAGGGUGGGGUUUUCCGUGUUACGGGUAAUAACUACGCAGCUUUCUGGGAAUGCGUAUUUUGGGAAAAACACUGACACUAUUAAAAAAAAAAAAAAGGUGAGAUUAUGACACAGAAAGAAAUGACCUUUACCAGGAGGAAGUAGAAAGAAAAAAAGAGGAAGUGACUAGAGCAAAGGAAGACAAAAGGAAAUUUGGCACAACAGGAAUCAGAAUCAAGAUCCUAUACACCCAUUGCAAUGCCUGGCAUGUAAACCAGAUACAAGAUAGCCUGUUCUCUGCAGCUGAGACAAACCCUGAAGGAGCUGAAGGCUGUCUGCUGACCAUAUUUCCCCUGACUGAAUAUCAAGUCCUUCCUAGAAGGGGAAUCUAGCCAAUAGGUCUCCUUGUCUAUGAUACCAGGUGAGGGGUAUGCCAUGAUUAUGGUCAGAGCAAACCAGAUAGUCACUAAUGUGUUCACCUGAG
ensembl:lincRNA